UGACCGCUGGCGGCGUGCCUAAUACAUGCAAGUCGAGUGAACGGACGAGAAGCUUGCUUCUCUGAUGUUAGCGGCGGACGGGUGAGUAACACGUGGAUAACCUACCUAUAAGACUGGGAUAACUUCGGGAAACCGGAGCUAAUACCGGAUAAUAUUUUGAACCGCAUGGUUCAAAAGUAAAAGACGGUCUUGCUGUCACUUAUAGAUGGAUCCGCGCUGCAUUAGCUAGUUGGUAAGGUAACGGCUUACCAAGGCAACGAUGCAUAGCCGACCUGAGAGGGUGAUCGGCCACACUGGAACUGAGACACGGUCCAGACUCCUACGGGAGGCAGCAGUAGGGAAUCUUCCGCAAUGGGCGAAAGCCUGACGGAGCAACGCCGCGUGAGUGAUGAAGGUCUUCGGAUCGUAAAACUCUGUUAUUAGGGAAGAACAUAUGUGUAAGUAACUGUGCACAUCUUGACGGUACCUAAUCAGAAAGCCACGGCUAACUACGUG
rnacentral:rRNA from 1 species